rnacentral:rRNA from 1 species
GACAGAGGGGGCGAGCGUUGUCCGGAGUCACUGGGCGUAAAGCGCGCGCAGGCGGCAACCUAAGUGUCGUGUGAAAGCCCCCGGCUCAACCGGGGGAGGCCAUGGCAAACUGGGUCGCUCGAGCUGCGGAGAGGCCCCUCGAAUUGCCGGUGUAGCGGUGAAAUGCGUAGAGAUCGACAGGAAGACCGAGGGGGAAGCCAGGGGGCUGGCCGCAUGCUGACGCUGAGGCGCGACAGCGUGGGGAGCAAACCGG